rnacentral:rRNA from 1 species
UACGUAGGGUGCGAGCGUUAAUCGGAAUUACUGGACGUAAAGCGUGCGCAGGCGGUUCGUUGUGUCGGCGGUGAAAGCCCCGGGCUUAACCUGGGAAUGGCCGUCGAAACUGGCGAACUGGAGUGUGGCAGAGGGGGGUGGAAUUCCGCGUGUAGCAGUGAAAUGCGUAGAGAUGCGGAGGAACACCGAUGGCGAAGGCGGCCCACUGGAUCGGUACUGACGCUGAGGUGCGAAAGCGUGGGGAGCAAACAGG